rnacentral:rRNA from 1 species
GACGAACGCUGGCGGCGUGCUUAACACAUGCAAGUCGAACGGAAAGGCCCUGCUUUUGUGGGGUUCUCGAGUGGCGAGCGGGGGAGUAACACGUGAGUAACCUGCCCUUGACUGUGGGAUAACUUCAGGAAACUGGGGCUAAUACCGGAUAGGAGCUCCUGCUGCAUGGUGUGGGUUGGAAAGUGUCGGCGGUUGGGGAUGGACUCGCGGCUUAUCAGCUUGUUGGUGGGGUAGUGGCUUACCAAGGCUUUGACGGGUAGCCGGCCUGAGAGGGUGACCGGCCACAUUGGGACUGAGAUACGGCCCAGACUCCUACGGGAGGCAGCAGUGGGGAAUAUUGCACAAUGGGCGGAAGCCUGAUGCAGCAACGCCGCGUGCGGGAUGACGGCCUUCGGGUUGUAAACCGCUUUCGCCUGUGACGAAGCGUGAGUGACGGUAAUGGGUAAAGAAGCACCGGCUAACUACGUG